AUGAAAGAAAGAGGGAAAUAAAGGAAAAAGAAAACCAGUUUUCUCAGUCUUCAAGUAUUUUCUGGAACUGACAACUGGAAAAAAUUUCUCCCAUGCAUCUACAUGCAGAAGGAUUGGAUUAAGGGAUUUUGACACUUCUUGCCUAGUAGAAAUACAGGCAACUAAGUCCCUAUGAUGGAAGAAGCCAAUCAAAGAGGGCAAAGGAAAAGAGUGGUGAUGGGACGUAUCUUCUAAGCUUUGGCGCAAAACCUGAAAAGGUUCUGAGGAGAGAAAGUCAAGGCCAUUCUAGGAACUGCAGCUUUCUUUUAUAGACACUGUUACUGAAAACAUCUUAACUUCUUUUUUGGCUGAUAGAGUUUGGAGAAGGAGUCAUCUUUAAUAAGGUGGUUAUGGGUAUUAAAGAGAACAGGAAAUCGUGUAGAAGCACUUAAUGUUGAAACCGGUAAGCAUGGUUUAAACCCUCCCACAAUCCCCUCAAGGACCUUGUAAAUCAUCAGAUUUGACAAUAUCUCUCCAGGACAAAGGAUUUUUGAAUACACACUGUCCCACAGAUACGCGAAAUUAAGCUAUUUGGCUCAUGUAGAAUAAUUGCAAGCAACAAAGCCAUUCAUGUUCAUCUUAGAAAAGGCAAACGUAGAAGAUGUCAUUUUACUCCACCAUCUGCCAAAUAUGUCAAAAAGAAAUUGGGAUUUGAUUUAUUGGUCUUUGUUG